rnacentral:rRNA from 1 species
GCCGGCGACCGGCGCACGGGUGAGUAACGCGUAUCCAACCUGGCCCUUAGUAGGGGAUAGCCCGGCGAAAGUCGGAUUAAUACCCUAUGUUCUUCGUAGAAGACAUCUGAAAUGAAGCAAAGAUUUAUCGCUAAGGGAUGGGGAUGCGUCUGAUUAGGUAGUCGGCGGGGUAAACGGCCCACCGAGCCAUCGAUCAGUAGGGGUUCUGAGAGGAAGGUCCCCCCACAUUGGAACUGAGACACGGUCCAAACUCCUACGGGAGGCAGCAGUGAGGAAUAUUGGUCAAUGGGCGAGAGCCUGAACCAGCCAAGUAGCGUGCAGGAUGACGGCCCUAUGGGUUGUAAACUGCUUUUAUACAGGGAUAAAGUGACGUACGUGUACGUUUUUGUAGGUACUGUAUGAAUAAGGACCGGCUAAUUCCGUGCCAGCCGCCGC